rnacentral:SRP_RNA from 2 species
GCCGGGCGUGGUGGCGGGCGCCUGUAAUCCCAGCUACUUGGGAGGCUGAGGCAGAGAAUUGCUUGAACCCAGGAGGCGGAGGUUGCAGUGAGCCAAGAUCGCGCCACUGCACUCCAGCCUGGGUGACAGAGCGAGACUCCGUCUCAA